ensembl:lncRNA
GGGAAUACAGGUGGGGCGGGAUGGUGGGGGUGGGGUCAGUGCUUCCCAGGUGGCGCUGAUGAUAAAGAACCAGCCUGCCAAUGCAGAAGACUUAGGAGAUGUAGAUUCAAUUCCUGGGUGAGGGAGAUCCCCUGGAGGAAGGUAUGGCAACCCACUCCAGUAUUCUUGCCUGGAAAAUCCCAUGGACAGAGGAGCCUAGUGGGCUACAACCCAUAGCAUCACAAAGAGUCAGAUGUGACUGAAGCGACCUAGCACGCAGGCAUGGGAAUACAGGGAGACCAAGGCAGCCAGAGUACACAGAACAGAGUACCAGAGAAGAGAGAACUGCACAGAGAACUUCACAGAUUUACAGAGGAAAUGCUCUUGAGCAUGGACUUAUACUAAGUACCGAUCAGGAAACUUACCUACGUGAGGUUGGGAAAAGAAGCACAUGAAGGAUUAGAGGAAACAAUCUCUGGAAGUCACUCAGGAGCAGAAAUAGUUCUUCCCACCAGCCAGAGAGAAGCUCACAAUUCAUGGGACAUUUGGUAGAGUACUCAGAAGCGUUUCGCUUCAGUAGUGGGCCACAGUAGCCCUGGAGUAAAGCUCUGGUCUUGCCUAAAAAAGUUUAAAAACAAAAUCUGUAAAGAUCAAACCAUUCCAAGGAACUUAACUAUCUUUGAAGUCACCUUUAGGUCUAAAAUUAUUUCAAAAUAAGUCUUUAACAAAUGACAGCACAAAACACCAUGUGCCAAGAAGAGAAGAUCUGACCCAGACUUCUAGAGAUGAAAAUGACAGCGUCUGAGAUGCAGAGUGCACUGCAUGGUGUUAAUAGCAGAUUAGACAUGGCAGAAGGAAGAAUUAGUGAAAACUAUUUAAAAUGAAAUACCAAGAGAAAAAACUAAAAGCGAAGAGCAUCUGUGAACUGCGUGACAACUUCAAGAGGCCUAACAUACAUGUAAACUGGAAUCCCUGAAGAAGGAAGCAGGCAGAAAAAAUAUGUAAAGAAAUGAGGACUAAACUUUUCCAAAUUUCAUUACCCCGAGAUCUAGGAAGUUCAAUAAACCCCAAGCACAAGAAAACCAUGCCAAAGCACGUCAUAAUUAAAAUAGAGAUAAAGGGAAGUGGGCUACAAGCCAUUGCAUCACAAAAAGUGAGACACGACUGAAGCGACCUAGCAUGCAUGCAUGGAAAUACAGGGAGAUCAAGGCAGCCAGAGUACACAGAACAGAGUUCCAGAGAAGAGAGAGUAGUGGGCGAGAUUUUUUCUUAAAAUCAUUCAGAGAAUGUGGUCCUCACUUCAUUCAAGUUCCCCUCAGGGUGACUCCAGCAACAGAACCAUAAUUUUGGAUUUUCAAUGUGAACACAAAGCCUUACAAAGGCACAUGAAAAAAAAAAUGAUCAAGCAAUUCUGCUUCUAGGAAUUUUCUCAAAGAACAUAGUUAUUAGUAUUAUUAAUAAUAAUGAUAAUAUGAAACAACAUAAGUGUCCAAUAACAGUGAAUUAUUUAAAUAAACUGUGUAAUAGUUGGACAGUGGAGUACUAGGCAGUCAUUUAAACUGAUUAUUGGACAAAAUCUUAAUGAUGUAGAAAGAUGCUUAAGAUGUGUGAGUAAGUUUUAAAAUAAGGCUUCAAUACAAUGUGACUAUAACCAUUUUUUAAAAACUGUAUCUAGACAUAGGGAAACCCACCUAUAUGUCUCUCUAUAGGAGACAUAGACAUACCCACCAAAAUAUUGGCAAUAAUUCUGAGUAGUGGAAUUAAUUUUUAUAAUAUUUAUUGUGAAAUUGUUUCAUCUCAAUCAUAAAAU